CGGACGGGUGAGUAAUGUCUGGGAAACUGCCCGAUGGAGGGGGAUAACUACUGGGAACGGUAGCUAAUACCGCAUAACGUCGCAAGACCAAGAGGGGGACCUUCGGGCCUCUUGCCAUCGGAUGUGCCCAGAUGGGAUUAGCUAGUAGGUGGGGUAACGGCUCACCUAGGCGACGAUCCCUAGCUGGUCUGAGAGGAUGACCAGCCACACUGGAACUGAGACACGGUCCAG
rnacentral:rRNA from 1 species